UAUUUCACGAAGCAGGUUUAGUGAAAACUCUGAGUUUGUUAACCCUGAAAUGAGGGAAACUCAGAGUUUUCCGUUUCACGAAGCGAGGUACCUCUAACCAGGGAAUGCGGGGUAACUCGAGCCUGUUUCACAAAGAGGGGUAACUUCAACUCUCGGUCAGUUACCGCAGUAACAGACUCUAUGACUCUAACCUGCUCACCAGCAGGUUUAUCUGAGAAAACCUCGAGUUUCUCUCCGUCUCCGCCCACUUUCAGCCACACACGCUGUUUCAUUUCCUCAUUCAUUCAGUCAGUAAGCGAGCGAGUUUUGGCGUAGAACAGCUUUUAUUAACGAUCCAGUGGAUAAAGGAGCAGCAUUACUGCACAGAUAAUUAAAUAUUCGUCGGUAGAUUGUUAUCAGACCGAGCAUAAAUGUUCUCGCAUUUCCGGACAAUUAUCGGUUUGAGCGGUACCGUUUCGUAAUCGUUUCAAGUCCAUAAUCUACAUAAACAACCUAAUCCGUCCUUACAUUUACAUUACCAGCCGCAGUCAUGCUCUCACAUCCAGCAGAUAUUGUGUGUUGCGCUGCGGUUCUUUUCAAAUGAAAGUUUUUAUAUGAUGUCGGAGAUGCAGAGUAAGGCAACUGUAUGGAGGACAGUCAGAAAAGUUUUCUGUGUGAUUGGCUGCAUAGAUGCACACACAUCCCCAUCACAGCUCCCUCACAUCAUGAACAGGAAGUCCAUUCACAGCAUAAAUGUGCAGGUAGGCUACAGGUAGACUGACGACUGUUUCUAAAUGUUAAAGACUGCAUCAUAGUUCAACAUCUGUCAUUCUCUGCACUGUCCAGAUCAUAUGUGAUGCUGCAUACAUCAUUUCUAAUGUGGAGGCCAAGUGGUCUGGGUCUGUUCAUGACUCCAGGAUUUAUGGAGAGUCUAACCUGAGCAACAGACUGCAGCGUGGAGAGUUUGAUGGCCUUCUGCUGGGUGACAGGGGUUACCAUGACAACCCAGGCUGAUGACCUCAUACCCUGACCCUGAACCAGGCCCCCAACAGAACUUCAACCGGACUCACUGCAGGACCAGAGCCCGGGUGGAGAUGACCAUAGGCCUGCUGAAAGCCCGUUUCCAGAGCCUACGUCUCCUCAGGGUGACCCCUGAGAGGGCCUGUGAUAUUACUGUGGCAUGUGUUGUUCUUCAUAAUAUUACCACUAUUAGAGGAGAGCAACACCCUGCCCUACAAACUGAAGACCCAGAUGAUGAGCCCAUCCACCUGCAGCUAUCCAGGACAGCAGAGCAGUCAGAGACACCGUAUGCAAUAAUCACUUUAGAGUUUAAGUCACCAUCAUCACCACCACAGCAAAUAAAGACAUGAUACACAUUU